rnacentral:rRNA from 1 species
AUUGAACGCUGGCGGCAUGCCUUACACAUGCAAGUCGAACGGCAGCACGGGAGCAAUCCUGGUGGCGAGUGGCGAACGGGUGAGUAAUAUAUCGGAACGUGCCCAGACGUGGGGGAUAACGUAGCGAAAGCUACGCUAAUACCGCAUGUGAUCUGUGGAUGAAAGCGGGGGAUCGCAAGACCUCGCGCGUUUGGAGCGGCCGAUAUCAGAUUAGGUAGUUGGUGGGGUAAAAGCUUACCAAGCCUACGAUCUGUAGCUGGUCUGAGAGGACGACCAGCCACACUGGAACUGAGACACGGUCCAGACGCCUACGGGAGGCAGCAGUGGGGAAUUUUGGACAAUGGGCGCAAGCCUGAUCCAGCAAUGCCGGGUGCAGGAUGAAGGCCUUCGGGUUGUAAACUGCUUUUGUACGGAGCGAAACGGCUUUCUCUAAUACAGGGGGCUAAUGACGGUACCGUAAGAAUAAGCACCGGCUAACUACGUGCCAGCAGCCGCCGCGGUAA